rnacentral:rRNA from 1 species
ACCCCAUAAAGAUAUCGAGAGGCAUCUUUUGAUAUUUAAAGCUUCGGCGGUACGGGAUGGGCAUGCGUGACAUUAGCUAGUUGGUAGGGUAACGGCCUACCAAGGCUUCGAUGUCUAGGGGUCCUGAGAGGGUGAUCCCCCACACUGGUACUGAGACACGGACCAGACUCCUACGGGAGGCAGCAGUGAGGAAUAUUGGUCAAUGGGCGACAGCCUGAACCAGCCAUCCCGCGUGAAGGAAGAAGGCGCUAUGCGUUGUAAACUUCUUUUCCAGAGGAAUAAAAUUUUGUACGAGUACGGAACUGAAGGUACUCUGGGAAUAAGCAUCGGCUAACUCCGUGCCAGCAGCCGCGGUAAUACGGAGGAUGCGAGCGUUAUCCGGAUUCAUUGGGUUUAAAGGGUGCGUAGGCGGACUUAUAAGUCAGUGGUGAAAACCUGCAGCUUAACUGUAGACGUGCCAUUGAUACUGUUAGUCUUGAGUAUGGUCAA